rnacentral:rRNA from 1 species
AAUAUUGCACAAUGGGCGAAAGCCUGAUGCAGCCACGCCGCGGGAGUGAGGAAGGCCCUCGGGUCGUAAAGCUCUUUGAUCAGGGAUGAUAAUUACAGUACCUGCAAAACAAGCCACGUCUAACUACUUGCCUGCAGCCGCCGUAAUACGUAGGUGGCGAGCGUUGUCCGGAAUUACUGGGCGUAAAGGAUGCGUAGGUGGAUACUUAAGUGGGAUGUGAAAUACCCGGGCUCAACCCGGGAACUGCAUUCCAAACUGGGUAUCUAGAGUGCAGGAGAGGAAAGCGGAAUUCCUAGUGUAGCGGUGAAAUGCGUAGAUAUUAGGAGGAACACCAGUGGCGAAGGCGGCUUUCUGGACUGUAACUGACACUGAGGCAUGAAAGCGUGGGUAGCAAACAGG